AAGCCCAAUAGGCAAAAUGGACAUUUUACCCCUCAGCCCAUUAUAGGGGUCUUGAGGGUUCUCCACAGAAUUCCUGCAAAAGAGAGAAGAGUGAGAGAGAAGGAUUGAGAGGAAGUUUGGGAGAGAAAACUGAAUAGCCGGAGUUUUCAUCGGAGAGUCACCGACGGAAUCUAUUCCCUACUAAGACCUACACUCUGGAGUCCUUCUUGGAGUGAAGUAAGAACUCGUGUUGAGAUUUCCUCUUCUUUCUUCAAGAUCUGAAAGAAAACCCACAAGGUAAGAUCCGCCACUGAUUUUGGUGAGGAAAUCGGACGAAACGUCGAAAUCUGAGAAUCUUUCAAAGAACGGAGGAGAAGUCGCCGGCGUGCCACUUGUCAACCGGCUAGAGGACCGCGUGCGCCAAUCACCUUCGGACACGCGUCAGACGCCGUCUAGGAAAAUGCGGCUCCAGCCUUCCUACGACACGCGUCCCCAGCAUUGCAACCCGACCCGCGGUCCACCCGAACCACUGCUUCCGACCAAACCCGCGACCUGCGACUGCAAAAAACUCUAGGCGCGUGACACUCGCGCGUGGAACCUGCGAGUGGUUGCACCCCGGCGCGUGGCUGGUGCGUGUAAGCUUAUUUUUGACCUGUUUGAUUUCUGUUUUCCCUAUUUUCCUCCUAAUUCCAAUCCUAAACCCAUUUAUAUG